UAUAUUCAGUUGACAGGAUCUACUGGUAUCAAUAGUUUUUAACUCCAACCGAUGAGGCUGGGAAAGUUAGAGAACCUUGACCUGAGUGGCAAUCAAUUUAACGGUAGCGUCCUAUCAAUUCUGAGUGGGCUUUCAUCCCUCAAGUCUUUGGAUCUAUCACAUAACAU